ensembl:rRNA 5S_rRNA 5S ribosomal RNA
GCUUACGGCCAUACCAGCCCAAGAACGCCUGGUCUCGUUUGAUCUCGGAAGCUAAGAAGGCUUGGGCCUGAUUAGUACUUGGAUGGGAGACCUCCUGGGAAUACCAGGUGCUGUAAGCU